rnacentral:lncRNA from 1 species
CUCUCCAAACCUGCAUCCCCCAGGGAGAGUGGUGGUGACUCUCAAUGCCCACCCCACCCUUGACCUGGGGGCAGCAAGAACAUAGGGCUCGCCAGGUGCAGUGGUUUUUUUUUUUUUGAGACAGAAUCUGCUCUGCCACCCAGACUAGAAUCCAGUGGUGCAAUCUUGGCUCACUGCAACCUCCACCUCCCGGGUUCAAGUGACUUUCCUGCCUCAGCCACCUGAGUAGCUGGGAUUACAGGCAUGGGCCACCAUGCCCGGCUAAUUUUUGUAUUUUUAUUUUUAUUUUUUAUUUUUUAUUUAUUUAUUUUUGAGACGGAGUCUCACUCCUUCACCCAGGCUGGACUGCAGUGGCACGAUCUCGGCUCACUGCCAGCUCCGCCUCCCAGGUUCACGCCAUUCUCCUGCCUCAGCCUCCCGAGUAGCUGGGACUACAGGUGCCCGCCGCCACACCUGGCUAAUCUUUUUGUAUUUUUAGUAGAGACGGGGUUUCACUGUGUUAGCCAGGAUGGUCUUGAUCUCUUGACCUCGUGAUCUGCCCGCCUCAGCCUCCCAAAGUGCUGGGAUUACAGGCAUGAGCCACUGCGCCCGGCCAAUUUUUGUAUUUUUAGUAGAGAUGGGUUUCACCAUGUUGGCCAGGAUGGUCUUGAACUCCUGACCUCAGGUGAUCCACCCGCCUUGGCCUCCCAAAGUGCUGAGAUUACAGGCGUGAGCCACCAGGCCCGGCCUAACAUCUUGAUAACUCACUUUCUCACAUGCCACAUCUGA